GAUGAACGCUGGCGGCGUGCCUAAUACAUGCAAGUCGAGCGAACGGACGAGAAGCUUGCUUCUCUGAUGUUAGCGGCGGACGGGUGAGUAACACGUGGAUAACCUACCUAUAAGACUGGGAUAGCUUCGGGAAACCGGAGCUAAUACCGGAUAAUAUUUUGAACCGCAUGGUUCAAAAGUGAAAGACGGUCUUGCUGUCACUUAUAGAUGGAUCCGCGCUGCAUUAGCUAGUUGGUAAGGUAACGGCUUACCAAGGCAACGAUGCAUAGCCGACCUGAGAGGGUGAUCGGCCACACUGGAACUGAGACACGGUCCAGACUCCUACGGGAGGCAGCAGUAGGGAAUCUUCCGCAAUGGGCGAAAGCCUGACGGAGCAACGCCGCGUGAGUGAUGAAGGUCUUCGGAUCGUAAAACUCUGCUAUUAGGGAAGAACAUAUGUGUAAGUAACUGUGCACAUCUUGACGGUACCUAAUCAGAAAGCCACGGCUAACUACGUG
rnacentral:rRNA from 1 species